GAUGAACGCUGGCGGUCUGCUUAACACAUGCAAGUCGAACGGAAUCCUUCGGGAUUUAGUGGCGGACGGGUGAGUAACACGUGAGAAUCUGCACUCAGGAUGGGGAAAACAGCGGGAAACUGCUGCUAAUACCCAAUCAGCGGAAAGGUAACAGAUUUAUCGCCCGAGAAUGAGACCGCGGCCGAUUAGUUAGUUGGUGGGGUACUGGCCUACCAAGACGGCGAUCGGUAGCUGGUUUGAAGGUAUGAGCAGCCACACGGGGACUGAGACACGGCCCAGACUCCUGCGGGAGGCAGCAGUGGGGAAUUUUCCGCAAUGGGCGCAAGCCUGACGGAGCAAGACCGCGUGGGGGAGGAAGGCUCUUGGGUUGUAAACCCCUUUUCUCAGGGAAGAAGUUCUGACGGUACCUGAGGAAUCAGCCUCGGCUAACUCCGUACCAGCCGCCGCCGUAA
rnacentral:rRNA from 1 species